rnacentral:rRNA from 1 species
GUGGUAAUGCCGGAUGCUCCGGUUGGAUGCAUGUCCUUCCGGGAAAGGUUCCAUCGGUAUGGGAUGGGGUCGCGUCCUAUCAGCUUGAUGGCGGGGUAACGGCCCACCAUGGCUUCGACGGGUAGCCGGCCUGAGAGGGCGACCGGCCACAUUGGGACUGAGAUACGGCCCAGACUCCUACGGGAGGCAGCAGUGGGGAAUAUUGCACAAUGGGCGCAAGCCUGAUGCAGCGACGCCGCGUGCGGGAUGGAGGCCUUCGGGUUGUAAACCGCUUUUGAUCGGGAGCAAGCCCUUCGGGGUGAGUGUACCUUUCGAAUAAGCACCGGCUAACUACGUGCCAGCAGCCGCGGUAAUACGUAGGGUGCAAGCGUUAUCCGGAAUUAUUGGGCGUAAAGGGCUCGUAGGCGGUUCGUCGCGUCCGGUGUGAAAGCCCAUCGCUUAACGGUGGGUCUGCGCCGGGUACGGGCGGGCUGGAGUGCGGUAGGGGAGACUGGAAUUCCCGGUGUAACGGUGGAAUGUGUAGAUAUCGGGAA